CCUACGGGAGGCAGCAGUGGGGAAUAUCGCACAAUGGGCGCAAGCCUGAUGCAGCCAUGCCGCGUGUGUGAAGAAAGCCUUCGGGUUGUAAAGCACUUUCAGCGGGGAGGAAGGCGGUGAGGUUAAUAACCUCAUCGAUUGACGUUACCCGCAGAAGAAGCACCGGCUAACUCCGUGCCAGCAGCCGCGGUAAUACGGAGGGUGCAAGCGUUAAUCGGAAUUACUGGGCGUAAAGCGCACGCAGGCGGUCUGUCAAGUCGGAUGUGAAAUCCCCGGGCUCAACCUGGGAACUGCAUUCGAAACUGGCAGGCUAGAGGCUUGUAGAGGGGGGUAGAAUUCCAGGUGUAGCGGUGAAAUGCGUAGAGAUCUGGAGGAAUACCGGUGGCGAAGGCGGCCCCCUGGACAAAGACUGACGCUCAGGUGCGAAAGCGUGGGGAGCAAACAGGAUUAGAUACCCUUGUAGUC
rnacentral:rRNA from 1 species